rnacentral:rRNA from 1 species
GAUGAACGCUGGCGGUAUGCCUAACACAUGCAAGUCGUACGAGAGUUUUUAACUCUAGUGGCGGACGGGUGAGUAACACGUGAGAAUUUGCCUUUAGGAGGGGGAUAACAAUUGGAAACGAAUGCUAAUACCGCAUAUGCUUUUGAGUGAAACGGAUUUAUCCGCCUAGAGAGAAGCUCGCGGCUGAUUAGCUUGUUGGUAAGGUAAGAGCUUACCAAGGCGACGAUCAGUAUCUGGUUUGAGAGGACGAUCAGACACACUGGAACUGAGACACGGUCCAGACUCCUACGGGAGGCAGCAGUGGGGAAUUUUCCGCAAUGGGCGAAAGCCUGACGGAGCAAUACCGCGUGAGGGAAGACUGCCUAUGGGUUGUAAACCUCUUUUUCAGGGAGGAAUAAAUGACGUGUACCUGAAGAAUAAGCAUCGGCUAACUCCGUG